UACGGGAGUGGCAAGCGUUAUCCGGAAUUAUUGGGCGUAAAGCGUCCGCAGGCGGUCUUUUAAGUCUGUCGUCAAAGCGUGGAGCUUAACUCCAUUUCUGCGAUGGAAACUGGAAGACUAGAGUGUGGUAGGGGCAGAGGGAAUUCCCGGUGUAGCGGUGAAAUGCGUAGAUAUCGGGAAGAACACCAGUGGCGAAGGCGCUCUGCUGGGCCAUAACUGACGCUCAUGGACGAAAGCCAGGGGAGCGAAAGGGAUUAGAUACCCCUGUAGUCCUGGCCGUAAACGAUGAACACUAGGUGUCGGGGGAAUCGACCCCCUCGGUGUCGUAGCCAACGCGUUAAGUGUUCCGCCUGGGGAGUACGCACGCAAGUGUGAAACUCAAAGGAAUUGACGGGGGCCCGCACAAGCGGUGGAGUAUGUGGUUUAAUUCGAUGCAACGCGAAGAACCUUACCAGGGUUUGACAUCCUGCGAAUCUCUUGGAAACGAGAGAGUGCCUUCGGGAACGCAGUGACAGGUGGUGCAUGGCUGUCGUCAGCUCGUGUCGUGAGAUGUUGGGUUAAGUCCCGCAACGAGCGCAACCCACGUCGUUAGUUGCCAGCAUUUAGUUGGGCACUCUAGCGAGACCGCCGGUGAUAAACCGGAGGAAGGUGUGGAUGACGUCAAGUCAUCAUGCCCCUUACAUCCUGGGCUACACACGUACUACAAUGCUACGGACAAAGGGCAGCAAGCUCGCGAGAGUUAGCAAAUCCCAUAAACCAUGGCUCAGUUCAGAUCGUAGGCUGCAACUCGCCUACGUGAAGGAGGAAUCGCUAGUAAUCGCAGGUCAGCAUACUGCGGUGAAUACGUUCCCGGGCCU
rnacentral:rRNA from 1 species